UUAUCCACCAAGAUCUAUGAAUGCUAUGAUUUGUAUUGUAUUUGCUAACUGAUUAUUAUUUAUAUUAUUUUGAAAUUUAAAUAAAAAAGUAUUAGUUUUAACUAAUAUAAUUAUUUCAUUACUUAGGUUGUUUGAAAUCUUCAGUUGAAUGACGUCUUGAGAUUGUAUAUAUGAAGGUUUGCUAAAUUCUUGGGAAAUUAUGAUCAAUCGACAAAGAUCGUAGAUUACUUGGAAAUCUUCAAUGAAACAGCGUCUUGAGAUUGUACAUGUUUACUACAUCCAGGGAAAUUAAUUGAACGAUGAUAGUUAUACAGAUUGCUUGCAGAUCUUAAGUGAAACAGCAUCUUGAAAUUUUGUGAAGGUUUGCUGAAUCCAGGGAAACUAAUCGAACGCUCAAUUAUACAGAUUGCCUGCAAAGUUGAAAUACAACAUCUUGAAAUUGUGUAAAGCGAUUCUAGAUGUUUCUCGAGAUUUACGAACUGGUUGAUGUAUGGCAUCCAUCUUUAUCUACCCUCGUCCAAGGAUUGCAACAAAAAGAAAUAAGACAUUGCGGUGUUCACAAUCUAACAAUGAAGACAAUGAAUUAGUCAUUUAAAGUAGUUAGUAUAAGAUGCUGAUUAAAUAAACAAUAUGUAAUUCUAUGU
rnacentral:lncRNA from 13 species